ensembl:snoRNA
CUGCAUUCUUAACCCUCCUGGCAGCUCUGUUACUGGCUUCCAGGAUAAGAAUGAAUGCCAGAGAAAACUGUUGAUUCAUCCAAAAUGUAGAGCUCUUCUCCCGUGGCUCUUCGUUAUUUCACAUCUUCAACAUUU